UCUCUGGGUUGUUCAUCCUUCACUGUGUCUAGUCCAUCAAUUAAAUUCUACCAUAGAGCGGAUGUCAAGACUCCAGGCACACAGAGAAAAAGCCCUGAGAGGCAUGGUGGAUCACAUACCCGUCGGCAAACCGCGAGAUGAUCAUGAUGGGCCCAAAGGACUCCUCCUUAGCGAUGUACAUGUGGUCCUCCACGUUCGUGAAGACGGUUGGCUGAAAGAAGAAGCCUGUAGGGGAGACAGCAGCCUGAGGCAUGUAGGAGGUAUAGGUCCCUGACUGUCUCCUCCUACGCUGGCUAGGGCCUGGCUCACACAGCUCUCUGUUCAGUUCUGGUUCUAAUUGGGGCUCUAUAGACCCAGGCGCCUCAUCCUCUGCCUUCCAGGUAGAAAUGGUCAAGAAGUGUCAGCCCUGA